UCACUCAGUAUACUAUGCCAGGAAGUCCUACGAUGAAUGGUGUAGCUGAGAGACGAACCCUUUGAGGAUAUUGAGUUUGGGGGUGGGGAGAUAAAGUUGUAAGAGAUUUUGUCUUUGAGGAAGAACAUGUGUCUUUCCCUCAAGUUGUUGAUCUUGGUCAGGGGGUUCUCAUUCCUGACAUGGAUCACACAACUCCAGUUCAAAACAAUCUCGAAAAUCUCCCCAAUCAAGUUCCUGAUAUUACUAAUGAAAAUCAAACUCAAC
rnacentral:lncRNA from 1 species